CUUUGGUGAUCAUAAUAACUUUUCGAAUCGCAUGCCUUGUGUUGGCGAUGCUUCAUUCAAAUAUCUGCCCCAUCAACUUUCGAUGGUAGGAUAGAGGCUACCAUGGUUUCAACGGGUAACGGGGAAUAAGGGUUCGAUUCCGGAGAGGGAGCCUGAGAAACGGCUACCACAUCCAAGGAAGGCAGCAGGCGCGCAAAUUACCCAAUCCCGACACGGGGAGGUAGUGACAAUAAAUAACAAUAUAGGGCCCUCUUGGGUCUUAUAAUUGGAAUGAGUACAACUUAAAUCCCUUAACGAGGAACAAUUGGAGGGCAAGUCUGGUGCCAGCAGCCGCGGUAAUUCCAGCUCCAAUAGCGUAUAUUAAAGUUGUUGCAGUUAAAAAGCUCGUAGUUGAACUUCAGACCUGGCUGGGCGGGUCUGCUUAACGGCAUGUACUGUCUGGCUGAGUCUUACCUCUUGGUGAGCCAGUGUGCCCUUUAUUGGUGUGCAUUGGGGAACCAGGACUUUUACCUGGAGAAAAUUAGAGUGUUCAAAGCCAGGCCUAUGCCCGGAAUACAUUAGCAUGGAAUAAUUAAAAUAGGACGUGCGGCCCUAUUCGGGUCUCUAGAGUCGGCGUAAUUGAUUAAUAGGGAUAGUUGGGGGGCAUUGGUUUUGGAGUCGCUAGAAGGUGAAAUUCUUGGAUUGACUCCAAG
rnacentral:rRNA from 1 species